UUAUAUCUGCUUGUUUGAGAAGCUUGUAUUUGUUUUAAACUCCUAUUCUGACAUAUUGUAACUUGAUUCAAUCAAGGGGUUAAGGGUUGUUGGUGAGCCAGUGAAAACCAACGUUGUAGGUUGUAGUUGGUAAUCCGGAAAAAACCAACUGGGUUGGAUUGUGAGCCCGUGAAAACAGUCGGAUUGGUUCUAGUCGGUGAGCCUGUGAAAACCGACCGAGUUCCUUGUGAUCUCGUGAAAACAACAAGUUAGGUUGUGAGCUUGUAAAACAACCGGCUGUAAUCUAAGGGAUUAUAGUGAAAUUUCCAAGAGGUCUUGGGGAGUGGAUGUAGGUGCUAGGGUGCACCGAACCACUAUACAUCUUUGUGUUUGUGAUGCCUUAUCUCUUGUGCUUUAUGCCUUACAUUCAUACUUGAUUGUGUAAUAUCUCUAGCUUUGUUUCCUAUUGAUUUAUAAGUGAUUGUUUAGAGCUUGCUUAGCUUCCACUCCAUUCUUUACUAUUCACAUAGAUUAAAAUUGAUCAUACAACUAUAAGUUAAUUUUAGAUCAAUUGCACCCUAAAGCCAUAGUAUAAUUGCUCUAGCUUAAUUUUUCACUGCUUUACUUGUAAUUGCCUAGAGCUUAAGUAAAUAACAUCUUAUCAUUCCGCUGCAUUCAAUUCAAAGUUAAUUAGGAAACAUAAUUUUUAGAAAACCCAAUUCACCCCCCCUCUUGGGUUGUCACCUUGAGCAACACAUAACCAUCUCAAUUUGCUGUAACAACAAUUAUAAAAGAAAAUAAAAGCAGAAAAGGCCCCAUGUUGUGGCAGACGAUUGACAAUCAGGGCAUGGUGAGUUUAGCAUGAUGACAAUAA
rnacentral:lncRNA from 1 species